rnacentral:rRNA from 1 species
CCUACGGGUGGCUGCAGUCGAGGAUCUUCGGCAAUGGGCGAAAGCCUGACCGAGCGAGACCGCGUGUGCGAUGAAGGCCUUCGGGUUGUAAAGCACUGUCGAGGGGGAGAAAAGGCAACUUGAUCUAUCCCUGGAGGAAGCUCGGGCUAAGUUCGUGCCAGCAGCCGCGGUAAGACGAACCGAGCGAACGUUGUUCGGAAUCACUGGGCUUAAAGGGCGCGUAGGCGGGCUAUCAAGUCCGGGGUGAAAUCCUCCAGCUUAACUGGAGAACGGCC